rnacentral:rRNA from 1 species
UGGGGAAUAUUGGACAAUGGGCGAAAGCCUGAUCCAGCCAUGCCGCGUGUGUGAAGAAGGUCUUCGGAUUGUAAAGCACUUUAAGUUGGGAGGAAGGGCAUUAACCUAAUACGUUAGUGUUUUGACGUUACCGACAGAAUAAGCACCGGCUAACUCUGUGCCAGCAGCCGCGGUAAUACAGAGGGUGCAAGCGUUAAUCGGAAUUACUGGGCGUAAAGCGCGCGUAGGUGGUUUGUUAAGUUGGAUGUGAAAUCCCCGGGCUCAACCUGGGAACUGCAUUCAAAACUGACUGACUAGAGUAUGGUAGAUGGUGGUGGAAUUUCCUGUGUAGCGGUGAAAUGCGUAGAUAUAGGAAGGAACACCAGUGGCGAAGGCGACCACCUGGACUAAUACUGACACUGAGGUGCGAAAGCGUGGGGAGCAAACA